rnacentral:misc_RNA from 1 species
GUAGGUGAACCUGCGGAAGGAUCAUUAACACGUAUCCAACGUACCCCGUGAACCUUCAGCCUGCUCUCGUAGCCCACGCGGCAACAGCAAUCCCGGUAAAUCAUUGACGACCAGUUUUGAUUCGGGACCUCUGUUACGAUGUGAGAAGUUACAGUUACGAUCGAGCGGUAGAGUCAGCCAGAGAAUGAAAGGAUCACUGGCUGCGCAAGGAUAACGCCUCACGGUUGCUAGAGGUCGAUCACCGACCGGC